rnacentral:lncRNA from 1 species
AUUCAUAACAGUGUGGUCAACGGUAAAACGUUUGUAAGUAAUUAUACUGAAAAACUAACCUAUAACUUGCUUGUUGUUAGCGAUGAUUUUAUGCUCACUCAGUCUAUCAGAGGCCUUCCAGUGGGGAUUUAAAUAAUCACUUGUUACACAUUUCGAUACAUAAAAGGAAACUUCUUUUCACAAAGCUUUAAAGGAAAUUUCCGACAAGAUAAAAAUUAAAAGAUGACAUAAAUCAACAAAUCACAAUUGUAAGCUGUCGAAAAAAGAUAAUCAAUCAACACAUGCAUUGCAACUUUUAAGGCCAGAUACCGGGGUAAGUCAUUUUUUCUGAAAUAACAUUUCGAUAUCAUAUUAUGAAAAUUUAUAGUCAAAACAUAACAAAAACACAAGUAAAGGACGUUUAAGUAUUUAAUGUUAAUCAAAACACAAAGGUAAUUCCUGGUUAGUAUUUCGAAUUAUUUUAUUUAGGCGUUGAGAACCUUUGGUGACCCCACAGUUUAAAUGUUGAUACUAAGGACGACGUGAGCAAUGGGCGUUAUAGGAGAACAUUCACCUAAUCUGUCCCAGUUGAUGGGACUAUUGAAGACGGCAAAUCAAUGGUCAUAGCUACACUGUUAUGAAUUUGAUUCUAAAUACAAGUCUAAGAUAGUGCAUAUUUCAUCUGCUUUGAAGAAUCAUUCAUUAAUUGUUGUAAAAUUCUAAGUAGGAUUUAGCCAUAUUAACUGGAUAAUUCUAGCAAUUCAUUGUGAACUAUAAUAUUCACAUUUUUCAGCGAGUAUGAGCAGUAAGAUUAUAUCCUAAAACAGCCAAAAAACACCAA